UCUUCUGUACCAAUUCCACCAAGGCGUGGACCAAAGGGUUUUCCCUGUCCUUCUCCCAGUCCCCGGCUGCUAAAAGAUUCUAUGAAUCUUCACUCACGUCCUUAGAUGCGCAGACACCUUCGUUUUUUUUUCAGAAAAACAAACUGUAACUCUUCCCGGUGCAUGCCUCGUUUCAUUCUCCAUAAAACAAUCACUUGUCAGAACAAAAGCCUAAAAUCCAAAACACUUCCUCUUUCCGCCCUUCUUUCUUCUCCCCAAGAUGCUUCUCUGCGUUCAUCCCACGAUCUCCUCCUACCCUGCUGCUACUUCUAAAACGUUCCUCUCAUCUCAUCUUCAUCAAAGAAGAAACCCUAUACCAGCUCGGAGAUUCCCCAUCCCUCGAUGCCCCAAACUCUCCAAAUACCCCAACCUCAUCACCCGAACACCCUUCUCUUCUUUCUCCUCCAACCCUUGUCGCCGUCUUCCAAGUUGCAGAGCCCAGAGCGAGCCCCUCUCGCUCUUCCCAGUCGCCAUCUCAGAUGAACACGACGCCAUUAGCCCGUGCCUGGACCUCGAGGAUGCGGGAAAGACUGAAUCUGGGGAGGGGAAAAAUAAGAACAAGAGCUUCUGGGGUGCUGUCGGUCUGAUCAUAGGUACUGCUGUUGGGCCUGGAAUGCUCGGCCUUCCCUCGGCCACCAUUCGAUCGGGGCCUGUUCCUUCCACCAUCGCUAUCAUCCUCUCAUGGGUCUACGUGAUCUCCUCGAUUCUCCUGGUUGCGGAGUUCAGCUUCGCUGCCAUGGAAGAGGAUCGGGUGGAGGAGGUGAGCUUCACAGCUCUGGCAACCAAAACCAUGGGGCCGACUUUUGGAUCUUUUGUCGCCGUCAUCUAUGCCUGCCUUAGCUUCUCUCUUCUGAUUGCAUGCGUCUCCGGCAUCGGUUCUCUUGUCGUUCAGCAGUUUCCUUUGAUUGAUCCCAUCGUUGCUCAUGCUCUGUUCCCUUGUUUCGUCGGGAUUGCAAUUGGAUUCUUCCCUUUUAAGGCCAUCGAUGUCGCUAAUCGGUUGCUCUGCUCUCUCAUGCUCUUUUCGAUCACAGCUCUCGUGGCGAUCGGUGUUUCGGUUGGAAGAAGCAACUUGUUGGGUUCUCUUGCAUAUGCUUGUUGGAAGGCUGAGGCAAUCUUGCCUGCAAUUCCCGUGACUGUGCUUACUCUAGGCUUCCAUGUUAUCACCCCCUUUGUGUGCAAGAUUGUGGGUGAUUCAGUGUACGAUGCGCGAAAGGCAAUCCUUAUCGGAGGUGCUGUUCCAUUGGCAAUGGUUCUUUCAUGGAAUGCUGUUGUCUUGGGGCUAGCAGGGGCUGGUAAUGUGGCCUUUGAUGAUCCUAUUAAGCUGUUGCUCUCUGUGAACUCCUCUGCUUUGCCUGCUGUUCAAGGUUUUGCAUUUGCUGCACUGGCCACCAGUUUGAUUGGUUAUGCUGUCAGCUUCCCAAAACAACUAGUGGAUACAGUAAAGUUGAUUGCAGAGAGGUUUCAUAGGAAACCGAUGGAAUGCUCUCAAGUAGCAGCUUUUCCAAAUGGAAACCAGAAAUUUGGGAGUUCUCAUGAGGGCAGCCAAGUUGGACUUGCUGUCAACUCAAAGGAAAAGGCUAGGAUUUUUGGACCAGCUUCUUGUGCUGGAGGGGAGUCUCAGAUGUUCUCCGAUGGAGUGAAUCGAAAGGAGGCCAUGGGAAUUCUUUGUGAAAGCCCUACUAGAGGAGGUUAUAGCAGUGGGAGCACAAAUGGAUCGGUCCCUUUGGAUGCUAGUUCUAGCAUGAGUAAUGUCCUUGUGACGUGGCUCGUACUCAUCAUUCCCAUCUUCAUAGCUUCUUUCUUCCCUGCAGCUUUCUCCAAAGCUCUAGAUUUUGCUGGAGUAUAUGCAAACUGCUUUCUUUUUGGAGUCCUACCCCCAGCAAUGGCUUGGAUUCAUCGAUCCAGGAAGAGAUACAGAUUGCCUGAGUCCAAGGAAGAUUUACUGCCUGGUGGAAAUGUGGCUCUUAUGUUAUUAUUUACCAUUGCUGUCAUACUAGGAUUCUGGCAUUAGAUGGUCACUGUUAAUUAGGAGUUCAGUCCUUUGCUUUGUCAAAAUGGCGGGCUCUUCUAGUGCUAAAAGUGCUGUGAUGCUGGUAUUCUUGAUGGUGAGCCAAUAAACAAUAGCAAGCUAAUAUUCCUGGAACAUCUCAAAGAAGAGUUAAUAUUCCUGGAACAUCUCAAAGAAGAGCUUGAGGAAUUAUCUUAUAUUAAGUUGCAUGGACUGGAGAAAGUUUUCUCCAGAAUCAGAAGUUUAUCUGGCUUUCCAGUUUCUGCUACUUUCUGAGUUGGAGACCCCCUUACUCAAACCCUGAAGCUCAUGCAAAUUUCAUUCAUUUGGUUGUCUAUCAAUUAGUAUCAUGGGCCACAACUAUUUCAGACAGCAGCCUCUUGAUUCUUUAGCAGCUAUAAACUCACCUUCCAAGUUACUCGCUUUGAUCGAGCUACAACCAGGAUCCAACUCAAGAAGCUUCUUGGUGGCAAUCUCGGCUAGACUCAACUUGCCAUGCACCUUGCAAACUCCUAGCAGUGUCCUCCAACUAAUAGGAUCUGGUCUCAUUGGCAUUUUUGUGACAAACCUCUGAGCCUUUUCCAGUUCGCCUGAGCGACCAAGGAGAUCCACCACGCAUCCGUAAUGCUUCUUGUCUGCCAAUCAACUACGUGCACAAGCAAUCAGGGGAUCAACCAAGGUAACAUCGUUGCUGAAAUCCUUCCUUCAACAUAUCAGAGAAAACUCCAAUGCACUUUCUACAUAGCCAUUAGCUGGUAACCAUAAUGUAAUUGAAUUCCAUGACAAGGAAUCCUCCUUCAUCCCACCAAACACUCUGAAUGCCUCCAUCACGCAUCCACACUUUGAAUACAUAUCUAUCAAGAUUUCCCCACAUAAAUAUCUGCCUUAAUGUUGUUUCUCGGAAUAUAAUUACGAAUCCGCUACCCUCGAUUACGUGCACCCAAAUGUGCACAAACAGAGAGCACACUGACGAGCACGAUAUCAUCUGGCUUUACCUUCUGCUGAUUCAGAGAAACGGUUUGCUUGAGAUUGAGAAUAUGCAGUGAUCAUUGAACUCCAAGAGAUCAAGUACCUCUCAGGCAAGCCAUCAAAGAUUCUCCUUCGUGUCUGUUGUGAUCAUGGCAUUUAAAGUCACAACAUUCCUCUCCUUCAUCUCACUGAAAAUCCUUUGAGCUGUUUCCACGGAUCAAUGUUGGCCAUAGCACCCAAGUAAACAUCAACCUCGACGCAUUUCUCCUCUACAUACCUGACCUUUGACUCGGCCAGCUCCCACUGUCCCAAAUGAAUGCAAGCUGAAGCAACCUUCACCAUCGCCACCUCGUCACCGUUCACUCCUUCCUGCGUUGCUUCAGAAAGUUGCAGUACCUCUCUCAAUUGCUUGUUUUGGCUAUACCCGCAAAAAAAACCCAGCAAGUCCAAGACACUACAUCUCUCACCGCCAUUUCAUCAAAAACCAAACUUGCGCAGCUCAAAAGUCCAUAUGAGGCGCAAAGAUGAACCAACGCAUUCGAUAUGAGGAUAUCCGAUACCAGACCAAGUUUCAAGGCCAUAUGAGUGUGUCCUUUUGCCUUCUCUGCUUGCCGGAAUUCUUGCGCAAGCCUUGAGUACAGAAGGGAAGGUCAGAUUAUCUUACGCCAGGCCAUACUCUCGCAUUCAGUUGGAGCAAAAGAUGGCAUCUUUGGGCAUAUCACUUUUGGAUAA